AAAAUCCGUCGACUUUAUAAGUCGUGAGGGUUCAAGUCCUUCUAUCCACCC
rnacentral:tRNA from 1 species